rnacentral:rRNA from 1 species
GAUCAUGGCUCAGGAUGAACGCUGGCGGCGUGCUUAACACAUGCAAGUCGAACGAAGCACUUUAUUACGAUUCCUUCGGGAUGACGAUUUAGUGACUGAGUGGCGGACGGGUGAGUAACGCGUGGGUAACCUACCUUAUACAGGGGGAUAGCAGUUGGAAACGACUGAUAAUACCGCAUAAGCGCACAGCUUCGCAUGAAGAAGUGUGAAAAGCCGAGACGGUAUAAGAUGGACCCGCGUCUGAUUAGCUAGUUGGUGAGAUAACGGCCCACCAAGGCGACGAUCAGUAGCCGACCUGAGAGGGUGACCGGCCACAUUGGGACUGAGACACGGCCCAAACUCCUACGGGAGGCAGCAGUGGGGAAUAUUGCACAAUGGGCGAAAGCCUGAUGCAGCGACGCCGCGUGAACGAAGAAGUAUUUCGGUAUGUAAAGUUCUAUCAGCAGGGAAGAAAAAUGACGGUACCUGACUAAGAAGCACCGGCUAAAUACGUG